rnacentral:rRNA from 1 species
CGAUCUGGCGGCUGCUUACCAUGCAAGUCGAACGAUGAAGCCCAGCUUGCUGGGUGGAUUAGUGGCGAACGGGUGAGUAACACGUGAGUAACCUGCCCCUGACUCUGGGAUAAGCCCGGGAAACUGGGUCUAAUACCGGAUAUGACUUUUGACCGCAUGGUUGAGGGUGGAAAGAUUUAUCGGUUGGGGAUGGACUCGCGGCCUAUCAGCUUGUUGGUGAGGUAAUGGCUCACCAAGGCGACGACGGGUAGCCGGCCUGAGAGGGUGACCGGCCACACUGGGACUGAGACACGGCCCAGACUCCUACGGGAGGCAGCAGUGGGGAAUAUUGCACAAUGGGCGCAAGCCUGAUGCAGCGACGCCGCGUGAGGGAUGACGGCCUUCGGGUUGUAAMCYUCUUUCAGUAGGGAAGAAGCGARAGUGACGGUACCUGCAGAAGAAGCGCCGGCUAACUACGUGCCAGCAGCCGCGGUAAUACGUAGGGCGCAAGCGUUAUCCGGAUUUAUUGGGCGUAAAGAGCUCGUAGGCGGUUUGUCGCGUCUAUCGUGAAAGUCCGAGGCUCAACCUCGGAUCUGCGGUGGGUACGGGCAGACUAGAGUGAUGUAGGGGAGACUGGAAUUCCUGGUGUAGCGGUGAAAUGCGCAGAUAUCAGGAGGAACACCGAUGGCGAAGGCAGGUCUCUGGGCAUUUACUGACGCUGAGGAGCGAAAGCAUGGGGAGCGAACAGGAUUAGAUACCCUGGUAGUCCAUGCCGUAAACGUUGGGCACUAGGUGUGGGGGACAUUCCACGUUUUCCGCGCCGUAGCUAACGCAUUAAGUGCCCCGCCUGGGGAGUACGGCCGCAAGGCUAAAACUCAAAGGAAUUGACGGGGGCCCGCACAAGCGGCGGAGCAUGCGGAUUAAUUCGAUGCAACGCGAAGAACCUUACCAAGGCUUGACAUGUUCCAGAUCGCCCUCAGAGAUGGGGUUUCCCUUCGGGGCUGGUUCACAGGUGGGUGCAUGGUUGUCGUCAGCUCGKGYCGKGAGAUGUUGGGUUAAGUCCCGCAACGAGCGCAACCCUCGUUCCAUGUUGCCAGCGGGUUAUGCCGGGGACUCAUGGGAGACUGCCGGGGUCAACUCGGAGGAAGGUGGGGAUGACGUCAAAUCAUCAUGCCCCUUAUGUCUUGGGCUUCACGCAUGCUACAAUGGCCGGUACAAUGGGUUGCGAUACUGUGAGGUGGAGCUAAUCCCUAAAAGCCGGUCUCAGUUCGGAUUGGGGUCUGCAACUCGACCCCAUGAAGUCGGAGUCGCUAGUAAUCGCAGAUCAGCAACGCUGCGGUGAAUACGUUCCCGGGCCUUGUACACACCGCCCGUCAAGUCACGAAAGUUGGUAACACCCGAAGCCGAUGGCCUAACCACCUUGUGUGGGGGGAGUCGUCGAAGGUGACGUCAUU